AGACCGAAGUUCCCCCUCCCCCCCAGCCUCCGCACGAGUUGCGGCUCUCCUCGUGGUUUCUGGGAAGUGCUAGAAACGUGGCCCUAAAAAGAAUGGCGUCCAUUUACAUAAUGCUUUGUUUGCUUUUAGCAAGUUUCCUUUGGUUAAAUCCGCAAAAUCUCCACCUCCUGACUUAGUGUUUUAGUACCCGCAGCCUUGUCAGAUAUUUAAAAUGGUGUGCUUCUUGGGGGUCACUUUCAUGGGGUACUAACCAGGGUUUUGGAGAGCUGCAGUUUGCCCCAAACGCUUUACGCUCCCGCUGCGGCCUUGAGGCCCUUUCCUUGCUUGGUGCAGCCGCCGCCCCGCGCUCCGGGGGCGGCCCCCGACUGGGCCCGCCAUCUUGGAAGGCCUUUUCCUGCCUGGAUCGCUACCGCACGUUCUUCGCGGUAAAGGAAGGUCGCUGGACGAAUUUACUUAGGCCCAGGGAGAUGAAGUGAUUAACGCAAGGUCACACAGUGUCAAGGAUGGAACCCAGACCUUCUUAUUUCCUUAUUGACCUGCACUAUCUUGUGGAUACGUGAGUGAAUUCCACACCACCCAUUUUACAGAUGAAGCCACUGAGAUAUGGAGCAACUGACUAAAUAGCCACCGCCCCACCCCUGGAGCCUUACACAUGACUGUUCUCCUGCUGCCCGAGUGACUACAGGGAGAAGCCAAGUCCCUGGCUGCUUUCUGCUGCUCCAGCUUCUAAACUUUUAUACUGUACCUCCCAGGAUUGCUGCUUUGAUAUCAGGAUAAAUUUCAAGAAAUGGAACGAUUGAGUUAAAGGAUAUGCACAUUUAAAAUGUUGAUUCGUGGAGCCAAACUACCUGUAAGAAUAUUAACUUCUACCAAUAGCGCAAAAGAGUGCCGAUUUUUCCACAUCAUCAGUAACAUUGGAUUGUGUAUUUUUCAUCUUCCUCAUGUGACAGAUAAGAAAACCGAGGCCUCAAAUGGUCGAAUACUUGGAGAUCUCUCUAAGCCAGCUCUGCUGGCAGGGCAUUUACUCUGAAGUUUCUGCUUUUGCUGUUGUCAGCUUUCCAUAUUCACCAUGGCCACCAGCUUCUGGUAGCACUGGGGCUGAGCUGCUGGAACGACUCCUUUCUCUAACAUAGCAGGUCGUCAUUACAGUGUAAUCCACAAGUGUCAAAACACCACCGGAAACACUGGUUUAUUGCUUGAGAGACCUCCUAUCAUCCAAAUAAAACCUGUCGAUACAUUCCAAGGAGUAUGCCAUGAUGAGGGCAGAGAGCGUGGAGUUUGAUGGAGCACAGUUUUGGAAAAUAAGAGCCUUUAUCUCAAAGGAAUGGACAUCUAAUAGAGGAAUUCCUGGUGAAGAUAAUUGUGUUUUCAUCAAUACUGAGGCAAGAUCCUUCACCAGCAAAAAGAUUAUGACUCGUUGAAGGCUCAGAUGACGGAUGCCAGCCAUAUUCUGAGAGUGAGAGGCAGAGAAGAAGCAAGGAGCUGAGGUGGGUGAGGAGCAAAGAGAAGUGACCUGCGAGAACAAGGCUGAAUCAGAAAGACAGGAGACAACAAUAGCAGAAUCAUAACUGUGAGAGCUGGAAGGUGGGGUCAACCAGGUUCUGGCUCUGGGCCCGGCUACGAGUAAAAAAAAAUUUAGAUGUCACUGGUCUACCACAUAAAGACAGCACUACCAGGCCUGACAUUCAAAGCCAUUGAGGAGAGAGCGAUUGCUCAGGAAGAGCAGGCAUUGCUUCCCAGGAAAAGAGCUUGGAGGAUGUCCAGGUUAUGGAUGAGCAGAGGGAACAACAUGAGUGAAGAGCUAGAAAGACCACGGCUGUCACGCCUCGAUUGUGUCGGUGCUCCAACCCAGAGUGGAUCUGGACCUGGCCUCAGGGAUUUUUCAGGUGGCAUGAAGAUUGCAGUCCCUGUGAUGACAGCUUAUAGGAGGGAGCCCCUUAAUUUGCCGGAGAAAUCAAAGGAGACUUCCUGGAGGUGGUAACACGUUAGCUGACUUCUGAGGGAAGAGUUGGGGUUCACCAUUGGAACUAGAGUGUGGGGAAGGCUUGCCUGGCUAAGUGAGUGGCUUGUGAAAAGACACAAGAAAAGCCUGUCAUGUUUGGGGAACUAUGAGCUAUUUAGCAUAGGUGGAGCGUGAACUAAGGAGGGGGCCUUCACGUGCCAUCUUGAGAGUCAGGAUUUUAUUUUGAGAUGAGGAGCCACGGAGGAAUGUUAAGCAGAAGAAUGGCAUGAGUAGACUUACAUCUCAGGAUUCCGGCAGCCUUGAGGAGACUGGAUUAAUGGGGAGGGGACAGGAGGCAGGGAGACCUGCAGGAAGACUGUUGCAAUAGUUGGGCCUGAACUAGGGCAGUGCGGGCAGAGAGGGAAGGCAGGAGGAGGAGCCAACAGAAGGUGGCCACCCAUCAAUCAAAGAUUGAAGCAGGAAGAAGAGGCAGUUGGCGAGGGUGACUCCUGUGGUGCUGACUAGGGAACUGGCUAGAUGGUGGUGCCUUUUGCCCAGAUAAAGAACACAGGAGGCAGAGUGGGUCUAGGGAGAAGAUAAUGCAUUCAGUGCUGAAAGUGACACUUGUAGUUGGACAUGGCAGUGGGCAGCUAGAGGAGAGGAGUGAGGUUAGGCCAGGGAGACAGACUGCAGAGAGUGCAGAAUGAGAAAGGGCUGUUGAAGGAAGCCCACAAAAGACUGAGUGGAGUGGUCUUUGAGGCACAAGAUCCAGAAACUUGGAUCACAGGAGCCAACUGGGCUGAAAAGACCUAGGAGUAACAGCAGCAAUGAAAAUGCUUCAGAGAAUCAAAUUCCUAAAGGGGCCAUUGGAUGUGGUCCUUGGGAAGCCACUGAUGCCCUUGGCAAGGUUGCAUUGGAGGGUAGUAGGCAGGAGCCAGCGGCUUUGGGAGUGAGUGGAGAUGACACACUGAGGCAGAGAAGAAGCUGGGCGACACUUAGACCAUAUGGAACCUUUGUGUGAGUUAGAAAGGGGCGCCUCUUCCUCCAGGCAGAUCAGCCCCUCAUCAUAGCACACUGGCCUGGCGAGAGGGUUGCAGGCUGGCCUUCAGCCCCCUCAUGCUCCACCGUGCGGCAUCUGCCUGCUAUGGCCCUGUGAGUGCAGACCAGCCCUUCUGGAAACUGAUUGGGAAGGAAGAAGAGAAGUAGUCAUUGACCAAGGGGGAUACGGGACUCUGAGAGGGGUUUAUUUUCUAAGCUGUGAGAGGCUAGUGCAUGCUGACUCAGAUGAGAGAGGGGAACCCAUAAAGAAAAAGAGAGUUGAGGACAGGGAGACCUGCAAUGAGAAGCUGAGUGGGA